UCAAAAACAUUGCCUUCUGAUAAAACUAUAAAAGGUCAAUCCUGCCCAGUGACUUGCGAGUUAAACGGCCGCGGUACCCUGACCGUGCUAAGGUAGCGUGAUAAAUUGCCCUUUAAUUGGGGGCCUGUACGAACGGAUAAACGAGAGUAAAGCUGUCUACUAUCAUAUAAAUAAAAAUUAUACCUUAGGUGAAAAUUCCUAAAUAAGAUCAUAGGACAAAAAGACCCCGUAGAGCUUUGGUAUAUUUUGACAAUUAAAAUAACUAUUAAUAAAUAACAAAAAUUUCAAAUACACCUUAACUGGGGCGGUUAUGGAAUAAAAAAUCUUCCAUUUUUACCAAAGAAAAUAAAUCUAAAAAAUUGACCCUUAAAAUAAGAUCAACAAAUAAGCUACCUCGGGGAUAACAGAUUAAUCUUCCUUAAGAGUCCAUAUUGACAGGAAGGUUUGACACCUCGAUGUUGGCUUAAGGUACCCAGAAAGGUAGCAGCAGCCCUCAAUGGUAGGUUUGUUCAACCUUUAAAACCUUACGUGAUCUGA
rnacentral:rRNA from 1 species